rnacentral:pre_miRNA from 1 species
AGUAGUCUUUUUGACAGAAAUUGGUCCUACCUGACUUUUCUUCGAUAAGCUAUUUGAUAAGGCUAUUGAAGAACUGCAGGUGGUGGUCCGACUUCUGCCAAAA